rnacentral:rRNA from 1 species
GAUGAACGCUAGCUACAGGCUUAACACAUGCAAGUCGAGGGGCAGCAUUUCAGUUUGCUUGCAAACUGGAGGUGGCGACCGGCGCACGGGUGAGUAACACGUAUCCAACCUGCCGAUAACUCGGGGAUAGCCUUUCGAAAGAAAGAUUAAUACCCGAUGGCAUAAUUAGACCGCAUGGUCUUAUUAUUAAAGAAUUUCGGUUAUCGAUGGGGAUGCGUUCCAUUAGGCAGUUGGUGAGGUAACGGCUCACCAAACCUUCGAUGGAUAGGGGUUCUGAGAGGAAGGUCCCCCACAUUGGAACUGAGACACGGUCCAAACUCCUACGGGAGGCAGCAGUGAGGAAUAUUGGUCAAUGGGCGCAGGCCUGAACCAGCCAAGUAGCGUGAAGGAUGACUGCCCUAUGGGUUGUAAACUUCUUUUAUAUGGGAAUAAAGUUUUCCACGUGUGGAAUUUUGUAUGUACCAUAUGAAUAAGGAUCGGCUAACUCCGUGCCAGCAGCCGCGGUAAUACGGAGGAUCCGAGCGUUAUCCGGAUUUAUUGGGUUUAAAGGGAGCGUAGGUGGACAGUUAAGUCAGUUGUGAAAGUUUGCGGCUCAACCGUAAAAUUGCAGUUGAUACUGGCUGUCUUGAGUACAGUAGAGGUGGGCGGAAUUCGUGGUGUAGCGGUGAAAUGCUUAGAUAUCACGAAGAACUCCGAUUGCGAAGGCAGCUCACUGGACUGCAACUGACACUGAUGCUCGAAAGUGUGGGUAUCAAACAGGAUUAGAUACCCUGGUAGUCCACACAGUAAACGAUGAAUACUCGCUGUUUGCGAUAUACAGUAAGCGGCCAAGCGAAAGCAUUAAGUAUUCCACCUGGGGAGUACGCCGGCAACGGUGAAACUCAAAGGAAUUGACGGGGGCCCGCACAAGCGGAGGAACAUGUGGUUUAAUUCGAUGAUACGCGAGGAACCUUACCCGGGCUUAAAUUGCAUUUGAAUAUAUUGGAAACAGUAUAGCCGUAAGGCAAAUGUGAAGGUGCUGCAUGGUUGUCGUCAGCUCGUGCCGUGAGGUGUCGGCUUAAGUGCCAUAACGAGCGCAACCCUUAUCUUUAGUUACUAACAGGUCAUGCUGAGGACUCUAGAGAGACUGCCGUCGUAAGAUGUGAGGAAGGUGGGGAUGACGUCAAAUCAGCACGGCCCUUACGUCCGGGGCUACACACGUGUUACAAUGGGGGGUACAGAAGGCAGCUACCUGGUGACAGGAUGCUAAUCCCAAAAGCCUCUCUCAGUUCGGAUCGAAGUCUGCAACCCGACUUCGUGAAGCUGGAUUCGCUAGUAAUCGCGCAUCAGCCAUGGCGCGGUGAAUACGUUCCCGGGCCU